AUGGGGCAGCGAAAAAUCCUGCAACAUAUAGCAUUAGCCAUGGCAAUGAUCUUGAUCCCGUCCAUGGUGUCGUGGAAGAUGAGGACGGCGAAGAGGGGCACGAUGGGCAGCGAGACGGUGCUUAUGACGUUGGAGAAGAGCGAGGAGACCUCGAAGACGAGCCCCACCACCCCGACGGAGGUGAUCUGCCAGGACACGGCCGUCCACACCAGCGUCAUGAAGUAG
rnacentral:rRNA from 1 species